ACCAUACAAGCCCUCACUUGUGAGCAGGUCACGUUCAUUAAACGGGUUUCUCCGUGAAUGCUUUCACUGCGGCUCUCGGCAACGUGUUGGACUUUAGUGCUCCUCUGCUUGACGCGCGUGUGUGUGUCUGUGUGUUUCACUUAGUGGACUUAUACUUGCAUUGCGUUACCACUGGACCCCUCAGCGUAGAAAGGCCCAAGGGUGCUGCGCUGAUGUUUGACUGAGAUAAAGGCAGAAAGCACCUGGCACCGUCGCCUCGAGCUGCUCAGGAAUAAAAAGGGAAUUCCCACCACUUCCCGACGGCUGCUGCCGCACUCGUCUUCAGGACAUCAUCGAGAAGGUGUUACACCGUGGAAGAGGAAGUAUUCUGAUCUUUGAAAAUAAUUAAAUGUACUCCAUUACAAAUAAAACUCAGCAGAAUACAUUUGUAAAAGACUUUGCAGAAUUUGCAGAAACAUCAACUGAAAUAGCAACCAUCAUAUUCAUGCCGGUUUAUAGACUGUAGAUAAAAAGUGGAGCUAGUUGUCGCUUAGAGAAGCGUCAUUUCUCAUAGAUUCUAAGGGAGCAGAGGCGUCGCCCCCUGCUGGUCACUACAGAGAAUGCAGCUUUAAGACAUGAAAUCUCCCUCUGACAUGAGGCAAAGUAGAAGCUUUAAAGCUGAGGUAGGUCAUUAUAUUAAGGUUAUUUAUUGUUUCAUUGUGUACUGGUUUGUGUCUUUAGCGCAGAUCAUUUAAAAAUACAGCAAACUCAUAGUUUCUCAACAUGACCAAUUUAAACUUUAAGGAUCACGAAAAGGAAAUAAGUUCAACCGCAAAGAGCCCGAAGAACUUGACCUGCUGAAGGAAAUAGAUGAAUCACUUUGGGGGAUUUUUUCUAGAUCUGUUUCCUCUCUUUUAUCCUGCUUAAAAAAUGGAAAGUUUGUAAUGAUUGAAAGGAUCUUCAACCCCUCCGCAAAAAAGCAGCGUUCAUAUUUGAAUAAAUGAGGUAAACAUUAACCUGAACAAUGAACCCGGGGGAACUUCCCCAGGGAGCCUCGUGAUGGACUUCUGCUCGUUGGCGUCAACUCACAAACUCGCUCCUGUGAGGGAAGGAGAGCGCAAUGACAGAGCGCAUGCUGCCCGGCCCUCGCCCGCCCUCGCCCUCCCUCGCCCACCCUCGCUCGCUGUUUGCCGUUUAUUGAGCGGGGCAGCUGUGUAAGCACGCUGCACAGCUUCUUUUUCUUCUCUUUAAAAAGUGAUUUUUUUCAGG
ensembl:lncRNA